AGAUGUUAAAAGCAAGAGACAUGGGAGAGCAUCAUUCCUUUGAGAUUUUAUAACUCAAACCAACUUUGGAGUUGUCUGAUUUGGAGAGUCAUUAUUCUUGGUCUUCGCUCUUAGAGGCCACUGAUGAAGAACAGGCGGUGACUGGGAUGAAUGCUGGUCAGAGAGGAGAAUCUUCUUUCCCCUAAACAGCGGUGGUUUUAAAGGAGGACGCUGCCCUGGAUGAUGUAGAUGUCACAUGCUGUGCUGAUGGGGUUUCUUCAUGAUUACAUCAGUUAUGCUAAAGAGAUCAUGAAAAUUGACUGUGAUGCAUGAUCUGUAUACAUGGACUAUGAAACAAACUGUAAGUGUAUAAUUUGUUAAAAAAAAAAAAGUUAAAUGCUUUUUCUGUGUUGUUUAGUAGAAGAGUUUACACUGUCAUUCAUACACCUGCUCACAUUCUUUCACACACACACACACGCGUCUGUUAAAUGUUAUAAUAUCAAAGUUAAUGUUGUGAUUUAUUUGUGUACUGUCAUGCCAGAAUAGUUGGGAAAAAACCUAACUAAUUGUAAAUUUAUUGUAUGUGUUUUCGUAUAUUUUUAUACAAUAUAUACAAUUGAACAAAGUCCAAUUUGAUCUUAAGUUAUAUUCAUCAAAUGUUCAAUGCUUUAUGAACUCUGUAGCUGUUAAUGCCAU